rnacentral:rRNA from 1 species
ACUCUAUGUUUUCCAAUGCAGACAUCUAAAAUGGAACAAAGGUUUACCGCUAUAGGAUGGGGAUGCGUCUGAUUAGGUUGUUGGCGGGGUAACGGCCCACCAAGCCUACGAUCAGUAGGGGUUCUGAGAGGAAGGUCCCCCACAUUGGAACUGAGACACGGUCCAAACUCCUACGGGAGGCAGCAGUGAGGAAUAUUGGUCAAUGGGCGAGAGCCUGAACCAGCCAAGUAGCGUGCAGGAUGACGGCCCUAUGGGUUGUAAACUGCUUUUAUACAGGGAUAAAGUGCGCCACGUGUGGCGUUUUGUAGGUACUGUAUGAAUAAGGACCGGCUAAUUCCGUGCCAGCAGCCGCGGUAAUACGGAAGGUCCGGGCGUUAUCCGGAUUUAUUGGGUUUAAAGGGAGCGCAGGCUGAUUAUUAAGCGUGACGUGAAAUGUAGCCGCUCAACGGCUGAACUGCGUCGCGAACUGGUAGUCUUGAGUGAGUUCGAUGUUGGCGGAAUUCGUGGUGUAGCGGUGAAAUGCUUAGAUAUCACGAAGAACUCCGAUUGCGAAGGCAGCCAACAAGGCCUUUACUGACGCUAAAGCUCGAAGGUGCGGGUAUCGAACAGGAUUAGAUACCCUGGUAGUCCGCACGGUAAACGAUGGAUGCCCGCUGUUUGCGAUAUACUGUGAGCGGCCAAGAGAAAUCGUUAAGCAUCC